AGAACCUUCACUCCUAUCUCUCACUUUCAUCUUCUGUCUCUCACUCUUGUUCUCUCCUUCUGCUUUCUCUCUCCCCCUCCCCUUUUUCAACUCCGGCAGUUGAAUAUGUCGAAAACCUCCAUCGAUUAAUCGAGCAUCUCCAUCGAUUAGUCUCUUCUUGUUAACGUCCAUCGAUUAAUCGAAAACCUCCAUCGAUUAGAGCAUCUCCAACCACACAACCUCUUUAUUCAGAGGGUUUCUCACUCACCCAAGGUCUUCCUCUGUCUCCUUUUUCAGCUCCGGCGAAGAUCAAUUUGAAACCCAAUGAAAUCCUCUAAAACCCAUUCAGUCCAAAAUUGUCAAACCCUUUCUCCAUCGAUUCACUGAAACCCUCAUUUAAACCCAAUGGUUAACCUAAAUUCAAACCCUCACAAACCCUGAUUCAAACCCUCCCAAACCAAAAUCCUCAUUCAAACUCUCCUAAACCAAAACCCUCUCUCAAAUCAACCAAUGUCAUGAAAUCAACCUUGAUGGAGGUAGUGGUGUAGCGAGCGUGCUCUUCGGCAACUGAUUCAGAGUAAACGGUGAAGUCACAUCAAGAUUGAGGUAAUUCUAUUGAAGACCCUUUUUUUUUACUCUUGUCAAAUUAUAACUUUGGCAUCUCCUUUGACAACGUUAUUGGAGAUGCUCCAAGGAUGUUUCGCUAUCUCACCCUAAAGAUGAUCUCUAGUAGUGACCCUUCUAGCAAUGGUUCUCUGAGCAACUAUGCUAUCUCUUUGAUUGCUUUCAGUAAUCGUAGAAUGUAAGGAUGUCUCGCUCGCUCACUCACUCUAAAAGCAAUCCUAGCAACGAUACUAUCAGUGCCGACGCGAGUCCGGAUCCUCUGCCGUUCUUUCCUGCAGCGUCCCCUGCCAUGGUUCAAAACGGCGUGUUUGGUUAUUUAUUUAUUUUUUUCUUUCUUUUCUCCUCCCAUUUUCCUUUCUGUCUCAUUUGCUUGAACCCUUACCUAUUGAUAGAAGCAGAGGUGAGGUCCUGCAAUAUUCAUUCGUACCUGCUAUUGUUGAUUGCAAUAUACUUCAAGAUUGAUCUAACCAAACCAAAUAUUUUGAUUUUAGAUUGUUUGUAUCAAACCCCAUAAUGUGACGAAAUUAAAGGACAGCGUCGGCGACGAGAAGUCUGAUUCGAAGAUUUCCCAUUGAAUUUGAUUUUGAAUAUCAAUUAAGAAAAGAAAAUAAACUUAAUCUGAGAUUGAGAAAAUAUGACCCAAACAUGAUAAACAACAACAAAUAAUCGAAUAAGUGUUUGGGAUAAACAUGAUAAACAACAGAUAAUCAAAUAGAUAGGCAUAUUUUAUGAUGAAUAUCACUGAA